rnacentral:tRNA from 1 species
GCGUCCGUAGCUCAGUUGGAUAGAGCACGAGACUUCUAAUCUUGAGGCCGGUGGUUCGAAUCCACCCGGGCGCACCA